AUGGGAAUGCUCAGGAUGCACAGCUAACCCAGCACUCACCUGAGUGCCCCGCACAGGUAUGUGGACCGAGUGACUGAAUUCCUCCAGCAAAAGCUGAAGCAGUCCCAGCUGCUGGCUUUGAAGAAAGAGCUGAUGGUGCAGAAGCAGCAGGAGGCACUUGAGGAGCAGGCGGCUCUGGAGCCUAAGCUGGACCUGCUACUGGAGAAGACCAAGGAGCUGCAGAAGCUGAUUGAAGCUGACAUCUCCAGGAGGUACAGUGGGCGCCCUGUGAACCUGAUGGGAACCUCUCUGUGACACCCUCCGUGUUCUUGCCUGCCCAUCUUCUCCGCUUUUGGGAUGAAGAUGAUAGCCAGGGCUGUUGUUUUGGGGCCCUUCAAGGCAAAAGACCAGGCUGACUGGAAGAUGGAAAGCCACAGGAAGGAAGCGGCACCUGAUGGUGAUCUUGGCACUCUCCGUGUUCUCUACAAGAAGCUGUGGUGAUUGGCCCUGUGGUCUAUCAGGCGAAAACCACAGAUUCUCCUUCUAGUUAGUAUAGCGGACUUAAUAAAAGAGGAAAAAACUCUUGC
rnacentral:sRNA from 1 species